UACGAACUGUGCGAACGUUAUUCGGAAUCACUGGGCUUACAGGGUGCGUAGGCGGCUUGUUAAGUAGGGUGUGAAAGCCCCCGGCUCAACCGGGGAAUGGCGCCCUAAACUGGCGAGCUAGAGUGAGAUAGGGGUGUGUGGAACUUCCGGUGGAGCGGUGAAAUGUGUUGAUAUCGGAAGGAACGCCGGUGGCGAAAACGACACACUGGAUCUUGUCUGACGCUGAGGCACGAAAGCCAGGGGAGCGAACGGG
rnacentral:rRNA from 1 species